UCUGCAACUCGAGUGCAUGAAGCUGGAAUCGCUAGUAAUCGCGGNUCAGAAUGCCGCGGUGAAUACGUUCCCGGGUCUUGUACACACCGCCCGUCACACCAUGGGAGCCGGUAACGCCCGAAGUCAGUGGCCCAACCGAGAGGGGGGAGCUGCCGAAGGCGGGACUGGUAACUGGGGUGAAGUCGUAACAAGGUAAC
rnacentral:rRNA from 1 species